AACGCAGAUGGCGCUCUCAUUUGCGUGGGAGCAUGCCUCUUUCAGUAUCUGUUUCACUCUCACUCGCCGUGCGUGCGCGGCGGAGAAUGAGGUCUGGCGCGUCGCAUGCGGCGCGCGCAGCCUUGAAGGGUCCAGUCGAGCUUGCUUCGUUUUCUCGCAAGAGAAGGCGGCGCCGCACUGAGAACGCUGACGUGGGUAAUCUACCAGACGUCUGGCGGUCGCUUGGAGGUGCGUGCUGUGCGCGAGCGUAGGGGGAGGUCAUCGGAAUUCUGAUGUCGCCACACCUAACUACAAACAACUAGAUCUGAAAUGAGGUAAGGAGACCCGCUGAAUUUAA
rnacentral:misc_RNA from 1 species